AGGUGUACCUAAUACGUUACAAUACGAAACCAGGAGGAAGGGAAUUGCAUCACGGGCGCAAACCGUGAGAAGCAACCGAAAGUUUCGAUCGCGAUGAGUCGCUCUAGCUCACUGCGCUCCACCAACGAACUGGCGUCGUUUUUAACUCUGCGGUGUUGGGAUACAAACGGGGGAACCCCCUGCAGAUGGAACAAGUUCCCCUUAAAUAGGAGGUUAUAUAAAUCCUGGUAUUUGUUCGCCAAUCUACCGUAUCUUGUUGCACCAUUUGUGUUGGUAUAACAGUAUUGCGUAACUUGUACAAAGGAUUGAGGAUAUAUAAGUGAACCGCAUAUAUAUGUACACUGUUGUAAUAUUUGCUAUUGGGCGAAGAACAAUAAUACAGAUUUGCUGCGCCUA